ACGACCUUACUUGAACAGGAUCUGUUCUAUAGGCUCGUACCUCUGUAUCCUUGAUUUCUAAGGAGGCAGGUCACCAAGUCUGGUGGAUGAACAAUGACUGCUUGACCAGAGCGUGAUUAACAUCUCUUCCUGGUCUGUGCACCAUCAAGGGCCGUAGAGGAUCGUUCUCAGCCUGGUUUCCUGGGCUGGGUUGGUCUUGCAGUUGUCUGACAGACC
rfam:Daucus carota subsp. sativus cultivar DH1 chromosome 2, whole genome shotgun sequence.